UACGUAGGGCGCAAGCGUUAUCCGGAAUUAUUGGGCGUAAAGAGCUCGUAGGCGGUUUGUCGCGUCUGCUGUGAAAUCCCGAGGCUCAACCUCGGGUCUGCAGUGGGUACGGGCAGACUAGAGUGCGGUAGGGGAGAUUGGAAUUCCUGGUUUAGCGGUGGAAUGCGCAGAUAUCAGGAGGAACACCGAUGGCGAAGGCAGAUCUCUGGUCCGUAACUGACGCUGAGGAGCGAAAGGGUGGGGAGCAAACAGG
rnacentral:rRNA from 1 species